CAGUCGUCUUGGUCUUCUGGCCUCCCUGCUGCUCCUCGGCCACGCUGACCCUCAGGUAGGUGUUGGGCGUGUUGAGCCACCGCGUCUUCUCCUUCUGCUGCUUCUGCGCGUGCUGCCGCAGCGCCGGCGUGGGCAUCGCCUCCUCCUCGAAGACGAAGGCCGUCACCGUGGCAGGGAUGAGCACGUCGCUUUUGGGUUUGCUUUUCUCUUGCACGAAGGGGUACCGGUAGGUGUAGCCGGUGCGGUAGCCCUGAGGAGCGGAACGGUGUUGAGUUCUGCAGGUUGUUUUCUCAGGGUGGGUCGAAGGGAUGGAGGGACGGCGCCCGCUCGCCCGCAGUGCGCUCACCAGGUUGUCCAGCAUCCUCAUCAGGGCUUCAAAUUCGUGCUCGCCCAAACGGCUCUUCUGCAUGGGGCCAAAGGUGCUGCCAGCCCAGCGCACAGAGCCCACCUCGUGGGGACGGUGCUUGGCACGCUCCAGCACGAUGAGGUUCUCCGCGCCGCCUGCGCUCGCCAGCGCCGACACCUGCAGCAUUGCGUCGGUGGCUGAGGCUUUGCACAGCUCUGUGCAUUGUGCUGGGGGCGUUGCUCUGGUGCUGAGGGCAUGCGUGGUGCUGGGAGCGUUGCAAUGAUGGCCGAGACCAUGCACAACUCAGUGCACGGUGCUGGGAGCGUUGCAGUGGUGCUGGGAGCAUGCGCAGCUUUGUGUAUGGAUGGCGAAGGGGGUAUUUCAUUGGUGGCUGAGACCGUGCACAGAGCUGCGUAUGGUGCAGGGGGUAUUGCAUGGAUGGCUGAGGGCAUGCAUGGUGCUGGGAGCGUUGCACUGAUGGCUGAGACCAUGCACAACUCAGUGCAUGGUGUUGGGGUAUUGCACUGAUGGCUGAGACCAUGCACAGCUCAGUGCAUGGGUAUUGCACUGAUGGCUGAGACCAUGCACAGCUCAGUGCAUGGUGCUGGGAGCGUUGCACUGAUGGCUGAGACCAUGCACAACUCAGUG
rnacentral:lncRNA from 1 species